GAUGAACGCUGGCGGCGUGCCUAAUACAUGCAAGUAGAACGCUGAAGAGAGGAGCUUGCUCUUCUUGGAUGAGUUGCGAACGGGUGAGUAACGCGUAGGUAACCUGCCUUGUAGCGGGGGAUAACUAUUGGAAACGAUAGCUAAUACCGCAUAACAAUGGAUGACACAUGUCAUUUAUUUGAAAGGGGCAAUUGCUCCACUACAAGAUGGACCUGCGUUGUAUUAGCUAGUAGGUGAGGUAACGGCUCACCUAGGCGACGAUACAUAGCCGACCUGAGAGGGUGAUCGGCCACACUGGGACUGAGACACGGCCCAGACUCCUACGGGAGGCAGCAGUAGGGAAUCUUCGGCAAUGGGGGCAACCCUGACCGAGCAACGCCGCGUGAGUGAAGAAGGUUUUCGGAUCGUAAAGCUCUGUUGUAAGUCAAGAACGAGUGUGAGAGUGGAAAGUUCACACUGUGACGGUAGCUUACCAGAAAGGGACGGCUAACUACGUGCCAGCAGCCGCGGUAAUACGUAGGUCCCGAGCGUUGUCCGGAUUUAUUGGGCGUAAAGCGAGCGCAGGCGGUUUGAUAAGUCUGAAGUUAAGGCUGUGGCUCAACCAUAGUUCGCUUUGGAAACUGUCAAACUUGAGUGCAGAAGGGGAGAGUGGAAUUCCAUGUGUAGCGGUGAAAUGCGUAGAUAUAUGGAGGAACACCGGUGGCGAAAGCGGCUCUCUGGUCUGUAACUGACGCUGAGGCUCGAAAGCGUGGGGAGCGAACAGGAUUAGAUACCCUGGUAGUCCACGCCGUAAACGAUGAGUGCUAGGUGUUGGAUCCUUUCCGGGAUUCAGUGCCGCAGCUAACGCAUUAAGCACUCCGCCUGGGGAGUACGACCGCAAGGUUGAAACUCAAAGGAAUUGACGGGGGCCCGCACAAGCGGUGGAGCAUGUGGUUUAAUUCGAAGCAACGCGAAGAACCUUACCAGGUCUUGACAUCCCGAUGCUAUUUCUAGAGAUAGAAAGUUACUUCGGUACAUCGGUGACAGGUGGUGCAUGGUUGUCGUCAGCUCGUGUCGUGAGAUGUUGGGUUAAGUCCCGCAACGAGCGCAACCCCUAUUGUUAGUUGCCAUCAUUCAGUUGGGCACUCUAGCGAGACUGCCGGUAAUAAACCGGAGGAAGGUGGGGAUGACGUCAAAUCAUCAUGCCCCUUAUGACCUGGGCUACACACGUGCUACAAUGGUUGGUACAACGGGUUGCGAGUCGGUGACGGCAAGCUAAUCUCUUAAAGCCAAUCUCAGUUCGGAUUGUCGGCUGCAACUCGCCUACAUGAAGUCGGAAUCGCUAGUAAUCGCGGAUCAGCACGCCGCGGUGAAUACGUUCCCGGGCCU
rnacentral:rRNA from 1 species